CAAGGAAUUUUCCGCAAUGGGCGCAAGCCUGACGGAGCAACGCCGCGUGCGGGAUGACGCAUUUCGGUGUGUAAACCGCUGUUCGGGGGGACGAAGCACUGACGGUACCCCCGGAGGAAGGCCCGGCUAACUACGUGCCAGCAGCCGCGGUAAUACGUAGGGGUCGAGCGUUGUCCGGAGUUACUGGGCGUAAAGCGUGUGCAGGCGGCGCAUCGCGCCCGGCGUGAAAGCCCCCGGCUCAACCGGGGAGGGUCGUCGGGGACGGGUGCGCUUGAGGGUAUCAGGGGCAGGUAGAAUUCCCGGUGUAGUGGUGAAAUGCGUAGAGAUCGGGAGGAAUACCCGUGGCGAAGGCGGCCUGCUGGGAUACACCUGACGCUGAGACACGAAGGCGUGGGGAGCGAACGG
rnacentral:rRNA from 1 species